GUUUAUUCUGAAGUAAACAUGGCAGAUGUAAGCUUGGCCGAUAUCGGAUGGAAACUGUUGGAGUUCAAAAACAGAUCUAAACGCUCAGUGUAAUUUAGCUGAAAGACCAUUGGCCUAACGUUCACCUUUUGAGCAUGGCCGACUCGGCAAAAGAGAUUUCCACCGGCCACCGGAAGCUUGACAGACUCGGCUCCAUUUAUGAGCCUCUUAAACUCGCUCAGUUCCAUCGGGAGGACGAGCCGCUGUGGGAGAAGCUCGACCGCUUCUACAUUUCAGGUGAGCAGUUUUUGUUUUUCUUUCAGUUCUUCGUGUUAUCAUCUCUAUGCAUCCGACUGACGUGUAAACAUUCUCUAGCCCUCAUCAGAAUCAGAAUGGGAUUUAUUGCCAAGUAGGUUUACACCUACUUGGAAUUUUUUCUGGUGUGAAGG